rnacentral:tRNA from 1 species
GAAAUAUUCUAAGAAGCUGCUAACUUCUUUUCAGCAAUUUAAAAUUGUUAAUAUUUCU